rnacentral:rRNA from 1 species
UCGAUCCCGAUAGGCUCCACCAUUCGCCACUGCCUUUGCGGUUGGCUGGAGUGGUGGAAUUGCUCGACGCGAAAAUCUCCGGGGAUGAAGAAACGGGUUCCGGCCAUGCGCAAGCAUGGUCUGGUAUUGGCGUAUUGUACGCCUCUUUGACAUUGUGAAUGGGUUUUUUAGAUCGAUGCCGUGGCGCAUGGAUUGACGAUUACGGUCGUCGUUCAAUUGCGUUCACACAUUAUGGGCAGCGGUCGCGUGGCGUAAGCCAUGUGAUGCGUUGUUCGAUCUGGCUGAGAUAUCGUCCGCACCUGGCACAUCGCAAGCGUUAUGCAGGCUUGUUGGUGAUGGUGUGGAUUCUCAAGCGUGAGGUAAGAGCAUCUGGUGGAUGCCUUGGCAUGUACAGGCGAAGAAGGACGUGGCACGCUGCGAUAAGCGUCGGGGAGCUGUGAGCGAGCUUUGAUCCGGCGAUUUCCGAAUGGGGAAACCCACCUUCACCAUUUCUUCUGUCACCCUGGCAACAGGGUGGUUGGAGAGGUGGAUAAGGUAUCACCUUAGUGAAUAUAUAGCUUUGGUGAAGCGAACCCGGGGAACUGAAACAUCUCAGUACCUGGAGGAAAAGACAUCAACCGAGAUUCCGUUAGUAGUGGCGAGCGAACGCGGACCAGGCCAGUGCCUCAUCUUCAACUAGCAGAACUGUCUGGAAAGGCAGGCCAUAGCGGGUGAUAGCCCCGUAUGCGAAAGUGAUGGAUGAGGCCUCGAGUAGGGCGGGACACGUGAAAUCCUGUCUGAACAUGGGGGGACCACCCUCCAAGCCUAAAUACUCGUACAUGACCGAUAGCGAACCAGUACCGUGAGGGAAAGGUGAAAAGCACCCCGAUGAGGGGAGUGAAACAGUACCUGAAACCGGAUGCUUACAAGCAGUAGGAGCCCCAUAGGGGGUGACUGCGUACCUCUUGCAUAAUGGGUCAGUGACUUAGUUUAUCGAGCAAGCUUAAGCCGUUAGGUGUAGGCGUAGCGAAAGCGAGUCUGAAUAGGGCGCUAGAGUUCGAUGAAUUAGACCCGAAACCCGGUGAUCUAGGCAUGACCAGGCUGAAGGUGCGGUAACACGCACUGGAGGGCCGAACCGUUCAAUGUUGAAAAAUUGUCGGAUGAGUUGUGUUUAGGGGUGAAAGGCCAAUCAAACCGGGAAAUAGCUGGUUCUCCGCGAAAUCUAUUGAGGUAGAGCGUCGGACGUAUACCGUUGGGGGUAGAGCACUGGAUGGAUGCGGGGGUCGCGAGAUCUACCAACUCUAACCAAACUCCGAAUACCAACGAGAUUUAUCCGGCAGACAGACGGCGGGUGCUAAGGUCCGUCGUCAAAAGGGAAACAGCCCUAACCUACAGCUAAGGUCCCCAAGUCACGUCUAAGUGGGAAAGCAUGUGGAAAUCCCAAAACAACCAGGAUGUUGGCUUAGAAGCAGCCAUCAUUUAAAGAAAGCGUAACAGCUCACUGGUCUAACCAAGGGUUCCUGCGGCGAAGAUGUAACGGGGCUCAAGACGUGCACCGAAGCUUAGGGUUCAGAUCUUUGAUCUGAGCGGUAGCGGAGCGUUCCGUAGGCCUGCGAAGCGGAAGGGUAACCGACCGUGGAGGUAUCGGAAGUGCGAAUGCUGACAUGAGUAGCGAUAAAGAGGGUGAGAUGCCCUCUCGCCGAAAGACCAAGGGUUCCUGCUUAAAGCUAAUCUGAGCAGGGUGAGCCGGCCCCUAAGACGAGCCCGAAGGGGGUAGUCGAUGGGAACCACGUUAAUAUUCGUGGGCCUGGAGAUGAGUGACGGAUCUCUUAAAUUGUCAGCUCUUAUUGGAUUGAGCUGGCUGUGACGAGGUUCCAGGAAAUAGCCUCUCCAUAUAGACCGUACCCGAAACCGACACAGGUGGUCAGGUAGAGUAUACCAAGGCGCUUGAGAGAAGUAUCCUGAAGGAACUCGGCAAAUUGCCUCCGUACCUUCGGAAGAAGGAGGCCCCACAUAUGCGCAAGCACUUGUGGGGGGCACAGGCCAGGGGGUAGCGACUGUUUAGCAAAAACACAGGACUCUGCUAAGUCGGCUUCAAGACGACGUAUAGGGUCUGACGCCUGCCCGGUGCCGGAAGGUUAAGAGGAGGAGUGCAAGCUCCGAAUUGAAGCCCCGGUAAACGGCGGCCGUAACUAUAACGGUCCUAAGGUAGCGAAAUUCCUUGUCGGGUAAGUUCCGACCUGCACGAAUGGCGUAACGACUUCCCCACUGUCUCCAGGAUAUGCUCAGCGAAAUUGAAUUCUCCGUGAAGAUGCGGAGUACCCGCGGUUAGACGGAAAGACCCCGUGCACCUUUACUGCAGCUUCAGAGUGGCAUUAGGAAAGAAUUGUGUAGCAUAGGUGGGAGGCUUUGAAGCACUGGCGCCAGCCGGUGUGGAGCCAUAGGUGAAAUACCACCCUGUUUUUUCUGAUGUCUAACCCAGC